rnacentral:rRNA from 1 species
UACGGGGGGAGCAAGCGUUGUCCGGAAUUAUUGGGCGUAAAGAGCGUGUAGGCGGCCCGAUUAGUCCGCUGUGAAAGUCCAGGGCUCAACCCUGGAAUGCCGGUGGAUACUGUCGGGCUAGAGUCCGGAAGGGGCGAGUGGAAUUCCUGGUGUAGCGGUGAAAUGCGCAGAUAUCAGGAGGAACACCAAUGGCGAAGGCAGCUCGCUGGGACGUGACUGACGCUGAGACGCGAAAGCGUGGGGAGCAAACAGG